rnacentral:rRNA from 1 species
GGGCUCACACAAGCGGUGGAGCAUGUUGUUUAAUUCGAAGAUACGCGAAGAACCUUACCCAGACUUGACAUGUACGGAUUAGAUUACAGAAAUGUAGUUGACACUCAUUCUGAGUGGAACGUACACAGGUGUUGCAUGGCUGUCGUCAGCUCGUGUCGUGAGAUGUGAGGUUAAGUCCUUUAACGAGCGCAACCCCUAUCUUCUGUUACCAUCGCGUAAAGGCGGGGACUCUGGAGAGACUGCCGGUGUUAAACCGGAGGAAGGCGGGGACGACGUCAAGUCAUCAUGGCCCUUAUGUCUGGGGCUACAAACGUGCUACAAUGCGGAGUACAACGGGGUGCGAUACAGUAAUGUGGAGCAAAUCUCUAAAAACUUCGCCUAGUUCAGAUUGUGGUCUGAAACUCGACCACAUGAAGCCGGAAUCGCUAGUAAUCGCGGGUCAGCAACACCGCGGUGAAUAUGUACCUGAGCCUU